UUAAUAAUAACCCCCCGCUCAAAAAUAGCCACAAGAAAUUGUGGCGAUGACCGACCCCGACAAAUUACAUUUUGAGUCUUUAAAGUCCUGCAAGGUACUUCAGGGAGA